UUUUCUCUUAAAUAAUACCACUAAAAUAUUUAAUAUUUAAUUGUUCAGAAAUAUAUAUAUAUAUAUUUACAUAUUCGAGAGUAGACAAUACAUAGAUGAUACUAAAUUGAUCGCAAUAAUUCUUUUUGGAAAACACAAUAUAACUAGUAUAGUAUAUAAAGAACUUUUCAAAAAUUUAUGAAAAUACUUAAGCCCGCAUCGCGGAUAAAACACCUAGUAUCUAACCUAUACUAAAAGGAGAAUAUACUCUACAGAGAAUGAUGCCACGUCCUCUUAAAAAAGCAACCAAUAAAAACAUUUAAAUUCGCCACGUCAUAGAGAAACAUGUAUUUUAUUGGGCUGUGUUUACAUUUUUAAAACAGCCCAUAUUGCCUUUCAUUUCUGACACCUAAAGUUUCAUUUUCCCCUGACUCUUCCUCUUCCUCUUUGCGGUCACGAUCAAAUUUUCAUCAAUAUAUUGAUUAUGCUCUUUAAUCCUGCUUCAAUGGUUUCGUUCUAUCUCCCUCUCUUUCUCCUGCUAUAUAAAGCGUUCCAUCUCAUCUUCAUUCCAACCAUAAUCGGAACUCUGCAAACAUUUUAUUUUACUUGAUGAUAAGUGAAAGAACAGCUUCAAAGCGAGAGAGACCUUCCUGAGUCGACUCGGACCGAGUUGGCUUUUCUUUCUUACUCUCCUCAACUGUAUUCGUUAUCGCGUUCUCUCCCUCUCUGUUGCGUAAUUUUCGUUUGAUUGUUGUUAAGUUCAUGUUAUCUAGACUUUAACUAUGGAAGCGCGUCUUGUGGUCUACCUUAUCGUUUAGUUCAAGAAAUUUGGUUUCUUGGUCUUGGAUUUUGAAGCCAUCAGAGGCUGUGACUUCUCUGGUUUUGAUCUCCACAUUCAUGUCAUGUAAGCCCGACAGUCCUGUUCAGACACAAAUGGCAGUUUCGCUUCUAAAGAGCCCCUUGACCGGGGAGUUCCACGAGUUCAACAAGAUUGGGAUGAAGUCUUCUCUCCUUCUUAUUAUUUCAAAAUAAAUAAAUAUACCUAUUAUGUUUCCCAUAGCGCAUCUAGAAGCAAUGUUAACCGUGACAAAAAAAAACAAAAAUUGAUCCAACUUCUCUUGGUAUAUUGUUAACUGUUUCAUUUGAGUAAAGUUCAAUUAAGUUUCAAGUUUUGUGUUAGGUGUAGCGACAGAAUAUGAUUUCGGGUAUUAAAACUGUCCUCAAAGUAUGUUGAAAUCCACCCUUACGCUACACAAAAAAAAGUUAAGGGGUUACAUGAUGGCUUAUAAAGUUCUUUAUAUUUUAGCAAUAUUUCUACAGAUUGAGAAGAGAUAAGAUCAUGAAAUGGUUCUCAAGAUUUGUGUACAAAGGGAUUAAUUUUGUUUCCUUAUCGUUCUUUCAGAGGUGAACUUUAAGUCAAGAAGAUAAAUCUAUCAAAGAUAUCAAAUUUCUUGACACUAAAGAAAUAUUAUGUGCUGACUCCACAACAAACAUGGAGUCAUUCAUUCGUAUUUGACUCCACUUAGUUGCAUGUUUAAUUUUAUCCCUUUUUCUUUACCAGGAGCAUUUAGAACACAUAAGAUCCAAUGUUACAUAUGGAAAAUAAGGAACGUUUCCGUUAACAGAUCAAGGUAUUAUUUCACCUGCAUAGCUGCUAAAACUAACAUUUUCCUGCUUUCUAACCCAAAAGAUUAUUAGUCCUAUUAUAUCUGAUGUUUAAUUCAUAUGCCCAGAUACAAUGGUCCUUUCAAUUGCAGAUGAUUUCAGAAACAAGUGUUACAAGAUACCAGGACCUCUUCCUCAAUGCCAUCACCAAAGCAAUGUAAUGGCACAUUUGCAGCAUCCAAAUUUGGUGUCGAUGAAACUAUGUCUGCUUUGGUGUCAAUGAAACUAUGUCCUUUCAACUUUUUUUUUUCAAUUCGAGUACAAUUAAAGAAUAUUUUAUUCUGGAAAAGUAAAGGAUCUAUGUAUUUUAGAUGUGUGUAUACUUAAAAGUGAUAUAGAGCUCAAAGUUAACAAUGUGUGGAAGUUUCAAUUAAACAAAUUUUUGUCUAAAUAGCGAAGAGAAGAGUACAAAAAGAAUACAAAAUAACAAGCCACCACAAAUAACCAGGAAACUUUAGUAGAUUAACAUUUAAGUUUGAUUUCGUUUGUCAAAACAUGUUUAGUGGGAAUUAGUUUAGAUGGUUUGUGGAAACUCAGAGAUACAAUAAUUCUAAUUGUGUUUGUCUUAUAAGAAAAGUAUAUUUACCUUGCUUCGAAGGUCCUGCAACACAUCUGAAGUAGUGAAUUACCAACACCUGGAACUUUAUAUUUUUUAUGAAUAUUAGAAUAAAUCUUUGUUUUUUCUAACACAUUACAACAUGUCUAUAAUGGCUAUACAUUGAUAUUAAUGGUUCCAGAGAAAAAGAAAACAUAUAGUUAACUCACCCUCAUGUCAUCUAAAUCGUAUAAAUAACAUACAUUAUAAUUUCAAAAGAAAAAGUUACAGAAAAAAUUAAACACACAUUGCAAAUAGGGAAAGCUCACUCUACAAUCUCUUUAAAAAACUAAAUUCAUUUCUUUUUGGUUAUUUGGCAAAUAAACCCUUGCAAAUAUGACCAAAAAAAAAUUCACAUCAAAACUAGGUGUAGUUUAACAUGGAACAAAGAAAACCAAAUAAGCAAAAAUAUGUCUUUUAUUUAAUUUCUUAGUAGUACUUUUUAUUCAAAUAUAGAAAAAUAUAUUAAGAUAACAGAAUUUUGAUCAGAUCACAAUGAUCCAAAUAACCGAAUACUAUUUUAAGUAAAUAGAUAAAUAUGCCAAGUUAUAUAUUUUAAAAUUACAAUUAACACAUUGGUUAAAUUUAAGACAAAAACAAUUGAAUUCGAUACAAUAAAUACAGAAACUAACCAAUUGAAAAAUAAAAGUAAAAGAGCAAUACAAAUAUUUGAACAACAAUGCAUGUGCUGACUUAUAAUAUAGCUAUAUUGUAGAUAAUGCAUAUAUUGUAGAUAAUGCAUGUAUGUUACUAUUAUCUUAACAUCCACAAGAUAUCAUUGAUCACUAACAACAAUGCAUGUGCUGACUUUCUUACACUCUUUUAAUUCCGGGAAAUUGGUUAAUUCAUUAGUAUGUUUUGCUUCCUUGACCUUGUGUUGGAGGGAGCUUUUAUAUAUUAUUCUAUGAUGUAAAGUUCAUAUUUUACUUAUGGUCCUUAUGUACCUUUUGAAGAAGCCUUUACCAUUUGUUUCAGAGCUUGAAUCUCAUGAAUUUGAAAUGGAAUUUUCAAUAGCCAGUGAGGAAGAUAAGAAAAUGGGACAUCAAAAAGACAGACGUGAAUCACGAUCGACAUUGAAAGUGUGAAGAGCAGGGCCAGAGAUAGAGACAUGAUGAAAAGGAUAGUGAAUGCGACCGCCACAAUGGGAGAAAUUGUUAUAGACACCUUAGCAGAGAACAUAGUGAGAAAAGGGAACGUGAGAGAGACUUUAUGGAUGAUAGUGAUCAUUACAAAAAUCGAGACCGUGACAGAUACUGAUAAUGUGUUGCAGUUAUUUUUUGGUUUAAGAUUGUUGCAUUCUUAAGUUGAUGGUAUCAUCAUUUAUCCAUAGGAAGAGGUCUUUCGAUCGAGAAAGAGAGGAGAGGCACAGGCCAGGGUCACGCUCUCGCUCGAGCAGCCGCUCUUAACGUAAGUCAAGGUCACAAGACUCACAACAUAUGGAUGAGUCUGAAAAUAGAUCACGUUCACUUUUACAGGUAGAAUAGUGGUGGACAGCAAGAUGGUUGGAGAUUGCAGGAGUCAUGUCUGCGCUAUCACCACAAUGCAUAAAACAUUAACUCUUGGAGCAUAGUUGUUACUGUUUGAGGAACUCAAGGUCAUGAAUAUGAGAGAAUCUGGUAAUGUUUUAGCCGAAAAGAAGAAAAAGCCUAAGGUGAUCUGAAACAGAACAAAUGAGUAUGCUUAUGUUUUGAAAUCUGCUAUAAAAACGAGUAUAGUUAGAAGCUUUGGCAGAUUCACUCUUUCUUCUCCUGUCUCUUAUUCAUUUUAUAACUUUUCUUGUGUGGAAACAUUUACUUUCUGUUCGCCUAAGGUUUGGUUUCGAAUAUAAUUCUGAUUUGUAUCAUAAUGGAAUAAUAUAAAACAUUUCAAAUUUGCAUAUUUGAAUAAAAUCACAGUGAAACUUAUGGCUUAGUUUUGUAAAAAUCUUGAAAUUCAAAAAUAAAUAUUCGUAGGGGAUGCUUAAAACAAAUAACUCUUCAAAUAGAACACACAUAUGAUUCCUAUAGACUCAUGAAACUGAUAUGCUGUGAAAACUUAGUUGCGCAUUUAGGAUUCUUGAGGUGAUCAAUUUUACUAAAAAUAACUUUACAGAUUAGAUUUCUUAAACUAAUCAAUUUUUGCCUUUUAAGUAUUGUUCGGAACUCAUAUUUUAACUAUAAAUAGGAAAAAAAGACGUAAAAGUGUACGAAUGGUGCUAUUAUUACAACAUAAACUUCAAUUUAAUAAAAUGGAAUUGGUCAAGUAAGCUGUACAAUGAAUAUAUGUUAACGUGUUUGAAUAUCCCAUAAUUAAAAUACGUUAGAGCUUCAUAUAGCAAAAGAGAGUUUCAGCAUUAACUCUCAGUAGUAUAUUUUAUACAGGAGAUGCCCAAGAUAGAAUCAUUUUAAAUAUAAAAAAAAUGUUGAACUGCUCAGGAAAAUUCCUUUUGGCUUAUAAGUAUGGAUAAACGAUCUGAAACAACCUACACAUAGCCAUACAUAAAAUUAAAUACUAAAUUGUCACAAUCUCAAAUGAUAAUAAGUUUUAUAUAAUGACAUAUUCAUAUGUAUCAUCAUAUAAUCUUACAUAUAUAAAAUAAAACCUCAAAGCAAAAAAUAAAAAAUAAAAUAAAACCAAAGAAAACAAUCACAAAGGAUAUGAAACAAGUAUAAAAAAAAUUGUCUCUAUUAUUUGUCCAAUACAUAACAUGAAUUUUCAUUUAAAAUACAUUUCAUUUUUUUCAAAUAAUUAAUAAAAUUGACAUAUACUAAUAGUAUUUUAUUGUUUACUGUGACGCACUACCAAAUCAUCAACGGCCUUGAACGCGUCGUGGAAGGUUCAACAGAAGCCAAACACAUUCAUAUGUGGUUGCGAUGGCGUUUAAGGUUGAAGGCCGGUUUUCUAAUAAUGUAUAAGGAGGUAUGGAGUUUGUGGAUUGGGCUUAAUAAUCCGACGUCCAGUAUUCAAGCCGACUCUGGUUUAUACAAACCGGUUUGCAAAACAGCAUCAGGAGUUUCCGUCUAAGAUCUCUAUAUCUAAUAGUACAAUACUUUCCAAUUUCCUUUGUAGUAUAAUAAUAAUAAUAACAUAUAUCAUAUCACUUAAUAGGAAAAUAAAAUGUUACUGUCUUCAAAUUUAGUUUUGAAAAGAAAAUUUUCGUUUAUCUCAUUUAUUUACAAUGUUAUACCAAAUAAGUUUGUACAAAGAUCAAUUUAGAUUGGAGCAUCACCAAUGAAUGCAAUUUUAGAAGUUUUUUUAAAAUUU